GCUUGAACCUUUUUACCGAAGAGAAUUUUCUUCAUUCCGCUCCUUGACGGUGAUUUCAUUCAGUAAUGGAUCUAUCAUCAACACCAUGGACCUUGGAUUUGCAUCCACAUCUGUUCCUACUGGCACUCAGAUUGGAAACGUUUUGGCUGGUGCAGCUUCAAACAUCACAGCCUUCAACAUCGACACCGCCUCCAUUUCUGUGGAUGGGACACAAGUUUCAAGUGGAGUAAGCCAUAAGAUGAGUCUCAUCACUGCAUCCUUUCUUGUGCUGCUGUCAUGGCUCCUGUCAAGCUUCCACUAGUGCACGGCUUAUGUCCAUGUG